rnacentral:rRNA from 1 species
UACAGAGGGUGCAAGCGUUGUUCGGAAUUAUUGGGCGUAAAGAGCUCGUAGGCGGCUUGUUGCGUCGACUGUGAAAAACCACGACUCAACCGUGGGACUGCGGUCGAUACGGGCAGGCUAGAGUUCGGUAGGGGAGACUGGAAUUCCUGGUGUAGCGGUGAAAUGCGCAGAUAUCAGGAGGAACACCGGUGGCGAAGGCGGGUCUCUGGGCCGAUACUGACGCUGAGGAGCGAAAGCGUGGGGAGCGAACAGG